rnacentral:rRNA from 1 species
UACAGAGGGGGCAAGCGUUGUCCGGAGUUACUGGGCGUAAAGGGCCCGCAGGUGGCACGGCAAGUGCCGGGUGAAAGCCCCGUGCUUUACACGGGGAGGCCCCGGCAGACGGUCGCGCUCGAGGGUGGCAGAGGGGGGUGGAAUUGCUGGUGUAGUGGUGAAAUGCGUAGAGAUCAGCAGGAACACCAAGGGCGAAAGCAGCCCCCUGGGCCGCACCUGACACUGAGGGGCGAAAGCGUGGGGAGCGAACCGG